AAGGGGUUGCCUCUUUUGAUUAUCAUGAUUGCUGGAAUUCUUUCUCGAAAAAAAAGAGAAGCAUCUACGUGGCUUGAAGUUGCAUAUGACAUAGGUUCUUAUACUUUAGAAGAGGGAAGCAUGAAGAUGAUACAAUCAAGUUAUGACCUUUUAGAAGACUAUUUAAAGCCUUGUCUUCUCUACAUGGGAUUGUUUCCUAUGUCAUCAGUUAAAAGUUCCGCUCAUUCAUGCUAUCGUCGUCAUAAAAUCAGCUCACCCAUGUCUUUACUGUUUAAUGGUGCAUUUUCAAAAAUUAUUUUCGAUGUGGCCUUUUAUUAGAGGUCCGUGACAUUAAUUAAAAUAAAUCAAUGUUAAUUUCAAAUAUCUUAGAUCCAUUAAAAAUAAUCGGUUCUUUUAACAUAACCCGACCCACACCCAUUAAAGUAUUUUUUUCCUACAACAACUAUUUUUUUUAUCAGAAGAAAUAGUGAUUAAUGUAUAUCCUUUGGCUAUUUCUAGUUGAUUCUAAAUCAUUAUAAAUGUUACGCUUAACAGAAACCUCAAAAAUUCUAUCCUACAUUUUAAUUUUAGUGACUCCAAUAUAUUGUAACACCCCGCUUUUUGAACGAGAAUAAAAAUCGUCAUUUCCUUCACGUAAAGGUUCCAAAAGCCAUAAAUCCAAUGCAAGUUUAGUGUGUUAAUAAAUUAUGUAGUGUGGAAACCUAUUUGAGUAUGAAUUGAGAUCAUAGAGGUCCCAAAGCUCAAGGACAAGUUGAAAGUUUUCCUAUCGUUCGAAUUUUAGUGAGCGUUAAAACUUAGGUCAACUUCAAUCGACCAUUACACUUUGUAUAUAUUGAAUUAGAGUACAUGCUAUAUAUCAAAUGAAAGGUAUUCAAAUUAUCUUUCCAACGAUACUAAUUUUGCAAAAAUCCGACACCCGAGGAAAAAGUUAUGGCUUUGCAAAGUGGAGUGUGUCGUGCAGCAUAAGGUGUGCGACGCACACCCUAACUUAUGCCAUAAGGUGUGCGACGCACAACCAUAUGUGUGCGAUAAAGAGUGCGCUCCACAUCCUAUAUUAUGCGAUAAGGUAUGUGCUGCAUACAUUAUUACUCAAGUGACUUAAACACUCCUUUUUUGGGGCAAAAUGGUUCUUUUUCUACCCUUAUUUAGCCAUAAACACGAAAUUCAGUUCCCAAAUACCCCAAAAUACACCUUCAUUCAUCAAAAUUGCUCAAGAACUCUCCUUAGGGUUUCAAAAUAAAAAUCCAAGUAACUCAAGAUUCAACCGUGGGUUUUUGAAACUAAUUGCAUAUUUGGAAUCCCCAGAACGUAGGCUUCAACAAGCACCUAUCAUCUUUGCAUAUAGAGGCAUGUGGAGUUAUCUCAAAAAUCUCAUGGGCUUAAAAGUUUAUGCUUUCAAAAUGGGGGUUUUGAAAUUACGAAUAUAAUUAUGUUUUAAACAUUUUAUGAUAUUGAUUUGGUCUUUAGGCCCAUUCCUGAAGUGAUUUGAUAUAUGAUAUACGUAUAUGCAUGUAUUCCGAAAAGAUGUUAACUUGAGAGGAGCAUGAAUUAUAUGAAAUCCUGCUCUUUAUAUGAUUUCGUUUUAAAUUCUAAUAUGAUGUGAAAUGUUUGAAAUCAUCUUGACAAGUGUGACAUGAAAUAUUUUGAAAAUGGUCAUGGUUUUGACUUGCAAUGAGAGGGUUGUUAUGUUGAAAUAUGAUGAAUAUAAUGGUUGCAUGAAAGAAUGAUGUGAUAUUGAUGGCUUACAAGUCAGGUAUGACGAUACCCUACAGAAUAAGAUAUGUGAUUGAAUUAAAUGGAGUUUGAUGCAUUGAUUUUACAUGAGAUAGGUGGAUGCCCGAAGAAGACAUUUGAGUGUAAGGGCUCAUCGCUGGAAACCGUGUUUGCUGGUACCGGGCUAAGUGAUCUUGUGUACUUGACUUUAUGUCAUUCCCAAAUUGGGACUAUGGUUAGGAACCCAGGCUAAGUGAUCUUGGGCACUACUAUACUUUAUUGGGCCGAGACACCCUGUUGUGUGAUCUUGUGUGUCUUGCCCUCACUUAUACUCUAAUCUCGGCGGCAACCGAGAUUUGACAGUUGGUAUAAAUGUUAUAUGUAGGGUAUUCCACCUAGCUUAGCUGCAUUACAUUGUUGUUGAAAACUAUUACAUGAUGCCCAUGUGUUUUCAAAUGAUUUGAUAUGAAACUGUUUUAUAGUGGCUCUCACCUAUAUUUGGUAAAAAUAUUAUAUUUUGUUUUGAUUUCUCUGUAUACCAGUACUUUUGUAUUGACCCCUUCCCUCCCAGGUUCGAAGGCACAGUUUAGGGGUUCAGAAAAUCAGUAGAUUCUCCAGACAGAUUUGCAGAGUCGAGUGGUAAGCCUUCUAUCUUCCGGAAGGCCUAAUGUCUGACGGUUUAAUUAUUAUUUAGUAGUUUUGGGUCUACUGGGGGCCUUGUCCCAGUUUUUAGAUAGUUAUUUGUUUCAUUCAUGUAAUAGAGAUUUCGCAGACGUUUUUGAGAUAUUGAUUGAGAUUAUGGGACAUUAUUCCCCAUUAUUAUUUUCAUAUGAUUCUUGACCAUGUUUCCGUUAUAUUGUGUAUCUUCCGCAUUUCUUUUGUCAUAUAAGUCAUGUGCAUGAUUGCCAGACAGAUAGGGGUGUUUCGGGCCUUUAUGGUUCGAAAUACUCGUCACGGCCAGGGCCCCGAUUCGGAUCGUGACAUAUAUACUCCGAAGUUGCAAGAAAAUAAGCCAAUGAACGAUUAGGGCAAACAAGAAAAAGAAAGAGGCGUACCAAUAGAGCUUCUCCAAUAUUCUCCCAUCACAAAUUAAGGGAGCAUACAUCGUUGAAAAAUCAUUUCUAAAUAACGGCUUAAAAGAAGUUUGUUAUCCCAACUACCCCGCCAUGUAUAUGGGAUAACUUCUCCCAUCACGAAUUAUUGGAGCAUACAUUGUUGAAAAAUUAUUUUCAAAUAACGACUUAAAAGAAGUCUGUUAUUCCAAUUAUCCUGCUAAGUACUUGUGAUAACUUCUCCCAUGAUAUAUAUGCCGGAAUAAAUAAUCUCGAUACUAACUAAUUUCAAAUAUUUUAAAAUUAAUAUUAAUUUCUUUUAAUUAAUGGCGUGGACUUAUAAUAAAAGACUAUGUGGCAAAAUUAUUUUUUAGAAAUCCAUCAUUAAAAAGUAAUGGCAUGCAUGGGUUGAUUUUAUAAUGGUGAUGGCAUAAAUAAGCCGAACUUUUAACUGAUGGCAUAAAUGAGCCAUUUCUGAUAGUUCAAUGACAUAUUUGAGCCUUUUUGCUUAUUUUAAUUAAUGACGUGGACCUCUAAUAAAAGGCCACGUGGUAAAGCUAUUUUUUAAAACCACCGUUAAAAAGUAAUGGCAUGGAUGAGCUGGUUUUGUAACGGUGAUGGCAUGAAUGAGUUUAACUUUUAACUAAUGGCAUAAAUGAGUCAUUUCUGAUAGUUCAGUGGCAUAUUUGAGUCUUUUCUCCCUUUAUAUAUCUAAAGUCUACAUGUAUCUUUUUAAUUAGGUGGCAGCAUUUGGUUGGACUACUAGUCCACAUAGGAGCGAUUUUCACGCAUAUGUAUUGCAAGAUUGAAGUAUUUUUUUUGUUUAGCUUUUGUAUAGUUAAAGGGCCUACUUGUACACUGAUAAAGUUAAUAUCUAAAAUCUAUGUGUAUCUUUUUAAUUAAGUGGAAGCAUUUGGUUGGAGUACUAGUCCACGUAGGAGCGAUUGAGUUUCACGCAUAUGUAUUGCAAGAUUGAAGUAUUUUUUUUAUUUAGCUUUUGUAUAGUUAAAGGGCCAACUUGUACAUUGGCAAAGUUAAAGGUCAUAGAUAUAAUUUAAUGUCAAGUUAAAGGUUUUGUUUAUGUAUUAUGCCUUUUGAAAAACCGACUUAACAAAUACUGGACUUGUUUUGCAACGACGAUGACAUAAAUGAGCCAAACUUUUAAUGGAUGACAUAAAUGAGUCAUUUCUGAUAGUCCGAUGACAUAUUUGAGCCUUUUUCCGUAAUUAAUUAAUGAUGUGUACCUCUAGUAAGACGACACGUGGCAAAGCUAUUUUUGAAAAGCCAUCAUUAACAAGUAAUGUCGUGGAUGAACCUGUUUUGUAACGGCGAUGGCAUAAACUAGCCAAACUUUUAACGGAUGACAUAAAUGAGUCAUUUCUGAUGGUUCGAUAUUUGAGCCUUUUUCCUUUAUUCAUUCUUAAGUAACAUUUUCUAUGAAUAAAAGUUCAAGUCUCUCACAAUUGAAAUUUAGAUUACAUUUUAUCUUUUGUGAAUAGUGAUUUUCUUUUCCUGGAGAAAAGAAAAAUAGAAGAUUACAAUUGAGAACAGUUUUAUACAUAACUUUGUGGAUGGACUGAUUUGCAUAUCAUGAAGCUGCUAUUGUCUGGAAGAUGUUAAUGUAUAUUUAGUUUUGUGCUUUUCCACGAUACGUUCUGAUGUAUUGUCAGAGACUAAGCCAGAAUCAGAAGCUUAUGUAUUGUUUGUGAACUCUUCAAACCCCUUUUGUCAUGUUCAUUGUUGUUUUCUCAAUACAAACUUUGGCAUUAAACUCUUUGCAUUUUCUACUGGAAUGCCUCUAUUUGAUUUUACUACAUUAAUUUCUUAUUUGAUUACAAGCUAGCUUUUUCCUUCACCCACCACAAAUAAUUUUCACUUAAGGAUUUUAAGUUGCUCAUACCAACGAAUACUAUCCAACUUUUAUGGUAUUUUCUUCAUCCACUCAAUCUUAAGUUAACACUUACAAGGUCAUAGUUGCAUCUCUACUUUAGUUUACAAAUUAAAUUAUCUUACUAUAAAUGUUUACCUGCAUUCGGUGUUUACAGUCAAUUCAUCAUUUUAACUGUAGUUGAUUUAAAAUUUAAAGUGAAAAUGCAUACCUCUUAAUCAUUGAUAAAGUGAUAACUUAGCAGAAAAUUUACCGGAGUGGACUACCUACAUCAAAUCAAUUCAGCUUAUCAUGAUUAAUUAAUUUAAUAACUAACCAUGGUUAUUGAGUAUACAAAAGUGAAUAUGCAAACACAACCAUGAUUGUGUUAGAUCUAAUUGAAAAUUAAUAUUUUAACAUGGUCCAAUAAAGGUGUGCUACAUGAAGUCAACCUUGUCAAUUAUUAAUUGAUCUUUUCUGCGACUAAUAUUCAUUCCUAAGUCAACUACUACUCCAAAUUUUCAUUUUCAUUUUCAUUCAUAAAGGUGUGCCACAGUAUUAAUUGAUCUUUUCUGCGACCAUUAUUUCAUUAUUCUGCUCAACGAUUACAAAGUUAAAUUUUAUUUUGCUCACCAUAGCCGAUUACAAGCUAGUUUUUUUCUUCACUCACCAAAAAUAAUUUCAAUUAAGAUUUUUAAGUUGCUCAUACCAACGAAUACAAUCAACUUUGACGGUAUUUUCUUCUGCCACUCAAUAUUAACACUUUCACAAGGUCAUAUUUAUAUCCUAAUAUAAUUUACAGAUUAAAUCAUCUUACGAUAAAUAUUUUUCUGCAUCAGGUAUUUGCACUCAAUUCCUCAUUCUAACAAUCUACAUUAAAUCAAUUCAACUUACCAUGAAUGAUUAAUUUAAUAACUAAUCAUGAUUAUUUAGUGAAUAUGCAAACACAACCAUGGUUGGGUUAGAUGUAAUUAAAAAUUACUACGUAGUAUUUUAACAUGGUCCAAUAAAAAAGUGCCACGUGUAUUUUGUAAAGUCAACCUUGUCAAUUACUAAUUGAUCUUUCUGCUACCAUUAUACACCCUUCCUUCCAUUUUAUGUAUUUCAGAUUGGGAUGACAUAAUUAUUAAAAAAAGUAAUAAAUAUUAUGGCUAAUUUAUCAUAAUAUCUUUAAUUUUAUAUUUUAAUUUAAAGAAAAAGUAAUUAAUGCAAAGGAUAAAACAUUAAAAUAAAAAAUUUAUCUUAUCUUGAUAAGUAAAAAAAUAAGUAAAAUGGACCAAAUUAAAAAAUUUGGGACGGGUAAAAUGGGACGGAGGGAGUACAUGAGUCCACAAAACUUCUUUUCCAAAUUUUCAUUUUCUGUGAGAGGAAAACCAUAGAGUUAGAAGAAUUUUGCAGCAAUUAUUAAUCUCUCUAUUUCCACUCUAAGGUGUGAUUUCUUUUUAGCUUUCUAUUUUAUUUCCUUUUGAUUAUUUGCCACAAUUUAAAUGUAUUGUUUUACUACACUGUGAUCAUGAUUUUCUUUACUCGUCUCAAAUUUUCUAAUUUAAUAUCUCAUUUUAUUUGUCUUUUUUUAUUUAUUAACACAAGAUAAUUUUUUUCUCAUGUUUACCCUUUGCAUUAAUUAUUUUUUCUUCAAAUUAAAAUAUGGUAAACUAACCAUGUUAUUAAUUAUUUUUCUUAAUUAAUGUGCCAUCUCAAUUUGAAAUGGAUAAUUUGGGAAGGAGAGCGUAAAAGAAUUAGUACAGAUCUAGAAUGUUUUGUGAAUUUCAGCUAAUGAGUCAUAAAUGCUAAAUUAAGCAACAAAAGGAAUUUUAAGUUUUAACUAGAUCUAGCAAAUUUACUUUUGGACUUUUAUUUCUCCAGGAAAUAACAAAAAAGGGAAGAUAGUAAAAGCUACUCUUUUUGUUUUAGUUUGUGUGACACUUUUCAUUUUUCAUAAGUCAAUUUAAUUAAUAUUUAAAACUAAAUUAAAUUGCAUCAAUGCAGCAUUUUAAAAUAAAUUUAGACAUCAAAAACUGUACAAGAAAUACUAUAAGUUGUAUAAUUUUCAUGUGAAUAUGAUUGAAAAAUGUAUCUUAAAAUGUUGGUCAAAAGUGUCGCAUAGAGUGAGUGUUCUUUACAUUCUCUUUGUUUCCACUCUAAGGUUAGAUUUCUCUUUUAGCUUUCUAAUUGAACUAACUUUAUAUUAAAAAAAUUGAUAAAAGAUUCAAAUACUAACAAAUUAGUUUGGAGAUUUUAAUACUAGAUGAGAGGCUUCUUAAGAUUAUGUUUUGCAAAAUUAUAUUAUUGAUUGUUUUACUUACUUACAAUUGAAAGUCUAAGAAAACUAAAACAUCACUUUUUUUUUUUUUUUUUGGGUGUUCUCUAAGUUGUAAAUUGAUUGUUAAUCAUUAUGUUCUUGUUUCCUUCCUUUAUUGGAGAAUAGUAGAGUUACCUGUUCUAAUAUAUUCCAUUUUACAUGCCUCUAUACUAAAAUAGUUAGUUUCAAAUUACUUAACCAUUUUCAUAAAUCAAGAAAAUCUUAUUAUUUCUUUCUCAUAUUACUCUUGGCAUUAAAUAAUAAUAUAAAGUAGUUCUAGAGUUCUAAAUUAUCAUUAAGAAUGUUAGUUUAGUAAAGUACACUUGUAAUUUGAGUUUUUCUUAGGGAGUGUGUCAUGUCAACGUGAGCCAAGUAGAAUGAAAUGGAGGGAGUAUGUCAAUCAAAAUCAGCAGAAAGAAGUUUGGGAUUAAGAAUUACAUAGAUCUCCAGAAUGAUAAAAGGGAAAGGAAGACUGAGUUAGAUCAUGGGAGAUGACAGGUAUUACGUGGAAUUAGUCGAAGUGCACGCAAGCUGGCCUGGACACCACGGCUAUCAAAGAAAAAAAGGGAAUAGGAAAAAAAAUGUUAGUGGAAAAACGAAUCAUAAAUUUGAGUCGGAGAUGUCUAAUAGGGAAUGGUAUGGAGUUUAAUUGAAAUAGGGUAAACUAAGCAAUGAAAUCCUGAAAUAAUGACAUAAUGGGAAAGAGAAACACCUUACCGGUCCCACCACGUUACGUAGGGGUAAGGCUGCAUACGCACCACCCAUCCAAGAAGGCAUUUGUGGGAUUACACUGUGUAUUAUGUUCUUCUUGUUGUUGAUCCCAUCCCAUCAACUCGGUCAUUGUAUAAAAUGUGUCUUUUCUUUGUUAGAUAUCAAUGGAACUGUAGAAUUCUUCAACAUUGACUUGAGUUGGAAUUACGCCAUAUAUAUCCAUUUCCUUGUUACUGAUAUUUGUAUUACAGAUACACACAUUAGGAUAUUUUUCUUAAUCGGCCUUAAUUUUGUUUGAUUUGGGUUGCGAUUGGCUUUUUCCUUAUGGUGCUUGUGGUAUUGUGAUUACAUGUGAUUUUCAAUCUGCUUAUAUUCAGGUGGCCAUAAAAUUUGUGCUUCUAAGAUGGCAACGGCCCAGCUGAAGAUUAUUGAGUUGGACGAAGGAUGGGAAAUUAUGCAGAAGGGAAUCACAAAAAUGAAGAAAAUUUUAGAAGGACAACAACAUUCUUUUAGCUUCGAAGAUUCCAUCAUGCUCUACACGUAUCCUUAGGGUUCUUAACUAUUUGUAAAAUAUUUUUUCUUUAAUAUAUAUACAUUAUUGUUUGCCAUUUUCAAUCCUUAAAAUAUGGUAAACUGCUUACGACCACUUUGCUCUCAUGGUGUCUUAAGCAAGUGAACAACUAACAUCUUGGUUAUAAGUGAGCUACUCUUGACAUGGGAGGAAGUUUUUCCUUAGUUGAAAUCUAGAACUGUAUAUAAUAUGUGUUCACAAAAGCCGCCAAAUGAUUACGCGCAGCAGUUGUAUGACAAGUACAAGGAAGUAUUUGAAGAAUAUAUCAAUUCGACUGUAAGGAGGAUUGACUUUCUUCUCAUGAUAAUUAGGUGUUGAGAUGUCAUUAGCUGAUAGUUUGCUUUGUGAUGGUCACAUAUAUUUACUUCCAUGCAAUUACUUGUCUUGUUUGCCGAGUUAUACUUCUAGUUAGGCAAUUAAUUAGUAGAACUUGAGUUUGGUCAGUAAUUCUUUUGGUGUUAUUAUAUUGGUAUAACCGACGCGUGCUUGAUUUGAGGCUUAAUGGUGGAUGUAUGUUCAAUUGUGUGGCUGUUUUGAGAAUAUUAAGUUGAUUAUACCCUGAAAUCCUAGUUAACAUUACUUCAUCUGAUUUGAAAACAGUACAUAUGUAUAAAUUGGAGUUCCACUACGUUGUGAAUUUUAUUCUGCUUGCUUUGAUAUUGCUGUUUUAAUUUGCAGUCUGUAUUUUUCUUUAUUAGGUUUUGCCUGCUUUAAGAGAGAAGCACGAUGAACUUAUGUUGAUGGAGUUUGUGAAAAGAUGGGCAAACCAUAAACUUAUGGUUAGGUGGCUAUCACGGUUCUUCCAAUAUCUUGACCGAUAUUUUAUUUCCCGGAGAUCGCUACCUACACUUAAUGAAGUUGGUCUGACAUGCUUUCGUGAUCUGGUUUGUUUCUUGCAUCUCCUGUAUAUAAUUAUUGGCAACAUAAUUGUCUUUUUCCUUUUUUUUUUCUUUCGUCAUAUCAUUGUUGUGUGGGAAACUUAUUUCUGUUUUUUGUUGACAAUAGGUUUAUCAGGAGUUGAAUGGUAAAGCUAGAGAUGCAGUUAUUGUGUUGGCAAGUGUCAUAUCCUCUUAAUUUUGUUUUUCAUUUCUUCCUACUUCCAGGUGAUCUGUUCCGGUUCCCGGAUAUGGAUCCAGUUAUGGGAUGCUGAAAUAUGAAAUCUGAUGUUUUCUUUCUACGAUCUAUGGUACUGGUUUGUUAAGAGAGAACCUACACCAAGUUGUUAUGGUUCCUGGAUAUGGAUCUAGUUGUGGGACGCUAAAGUAUGAAAUCUAAUGUUUUCUUUCUACGGCCUAUGGUGCUAGUUCAUUAAGAGAGAACCUGCAAUCUCUUGAGUUUGAAGUACUCAAAAACUUAAAAACUUUCUGCUUAUCUUUCAUUGAAUAAACCUGGAGUUUAAAUACAAUACUAAUAAGAUAACUACCUCUAGAGACUAGGACAUUGACUUCCUAACAUUACUGAAUGAGAAACUGCAAACUACUACAAAGAAAUAAUUAGUAGACACUAUAAAUAACUAAUACAAAGAGAUAAUUAUUAGUCUGCAGUGAAUAAUUACGAGUCUACUGCAACCAACUACUACUGUAAACCGUUGAAGACCAAGGAAUGAUAACAUGAUCCUAACUCGUGUGAUACUACUUGCUAGUUAUGAGGGUCUGAUUAAGAGUCCUUUCAUAUUAGAUUGAAGGUCUGAUUAAGAGUCCUUUUAUAUUAGAUUGAUCAAGAACGCGAGGGUGAGCAGAUUGACAGAGCUUUAUUGAAGAAUGUGCUUGAUAUAUUUGUUGAAAUUGGAAUGGGCGAAAUGGGUUAUUAUGAGAAUGAAUUUGAAGAUGCAAUGCUUAAAGAUACUGCAGCUUAUUAUUCUCGGAAAGCUUCAAGUUGGAUUGUGGAAAAUUCUUGUCCAGAUUAUAUGUUAAAGGUACAAUUCAAUUUUACAAUUGCCAUGAGUUCGUAAAUUGUUUGGUUACUGCUCUAAAUUGCCAGGGUAAAUUGUGAUACCUGUGCUAUGCUAACCCAGGCAGAGGAGUGCUUGAACAAAGAGAAGGAUAGAGUGUCUCAUUAUCUCCAUGUUAGUAGUGAGACAAAACUUCUGGAGGUGAGCAUCGGAAUUUGCAUAGCAACUUGAAAUCUUAACUUCUGAAGAACGUUUUUUAUUUAAAAAAUAAAAUAAAAUGGAGCAUAGAUUAGUACUGUGUGAUUUUGUGUGAUGUGGGAGGGACCCGUGGAAUUAGUCUAGGUGCACGCAAGCUGGCUCAGACACCACGGUUAUAAAACAACAAACAAUGGUGAUUUGAUUGUUACAUGUCUAUGUAAAGGAUGCCUUGUUAAAUUCUAUUUUUUUUUUCUUAAACCUUUGAAGUGAAGCUUAAAGGGAUUACCGUCCAAGGUUUUAUGCAUUUUCGGUUGUUGGAUCCUUCAUUGUAUAGAGUUCGCAUUUCGAUUGUUUGCUCUCUUCUAAUAAAUUAUUCAACUUGCCAAAUUUAUGCUGUAGAGAGUGCAAAACGAAUUGUUGGUUGUAUACACCAAUCAGUUACUUGAAAAGGAGCAUUCUGGAUGCCGAGCAUUGCUUACUGAUGAUGAGGUAAUGAAUUAUUGUGUUCCUUUUCACGAUUAAUUUUUGGGAAGUUUCAACUUGUUUUACAUGUAAUUCGAUGUUAUUCUCUUCUGCCCUUGCUGCCGCACUCUCUUUUGUACACUCAGGUAGAGGAUUUAUCUCGAAUGUUUAGGCUAUCCCACAUAAUCCCCAAGGGAUUGGAACCUGUUUCAAAUACUUUUAAACAGGUAUUUCUAUUUGCUGUCAUUCUAUACCAAUUACUGAGCAACAAAAGAAUUAUUUAUUUAGUUUUUUAAGUUUGGCUAAACAUCUUCUGACGAUAAAUCAUUUGCAGCAUGUCAUUCCUGAAGACAUGGUCUUGGUGCUGUGAAAAAUAUCUAAAGUGGAUUUUUUGGAAGAAUAAGUAUCAUAGUUUUCUAGUUAAAUUUCUAGAAUAGUCUAGUUAGUGAAACAAAAAGGUUCUAGAUAAGUUUCUAGAAUAAUCUAGUGUAGUCACUUGGAUAAGGAACUAUCUAGAGUAGAAAAUAAAGAUCUCUACAUUUUUCUUGUAGAAAGUAUCUAGAAGAUUUUCUAGAAUUAUCUAUACACAAGUAUAAAUAGGGAUGUCUUGAACAUUUGUAACCAUCCAAAAAAAACAAAAUCUUAUACAAAGCAUAUCCAAGUAGUAUUCUUCCAAAUCCAAGUUCUUCUUUCAAUAUCUUCCUUCACCUUUCUAGCUUCUUCUUCUUAGUUGAAUCUUCUGAUCUUGGGCUAGCAGAAAGUUUUGUGCAACAGGACGAAGAUGCGACAAAUAGUCCGGUCUUGGUGCAACAGGCUGAAGAGAUGACAAAUAGUCCGGUCUUGGUGCAACAGGCUGAAGAUACGACAAAUAGCAUGGUCUUGGUGCAACAGGCUGAAGAGACGACAAAUAGCAAGGUGAAUUAUCUAUGUUCUGGUUUCACUUAAAAACGAUGAUUAUCUGUUAAUUGCAUAGGAAUAUGAAAUCCUUUUAAAUUGUGAAUAGGAAAAAACAGUGGGGAGAGGGAAGGCAAAUUAUCUAUGCAUUAUUAAUUGGAAAUAUUACGUGGAAUCGAAAACAUCAUGUUAUAAUUGUUGGGCAUAGUAAAUAAUAAUCAUUUGCAGCUAAGGUUUAGAUUAAAUAGCCAAAUAUAUAUUUCUUUUUCAUUUGUAUAUUUUGGAGUUCAUAUACAAAUCUCGGAUUUUGGGGUGACUCUGAUAUAGGGCUCAUAUACAAUUCUCUCAAGUUUUGUAUUUGUAUACAAAGCGAAUUUCGGGUUCAUAUACAAAUCUCUAAAGGGAAUUUGUAUUUGUAUAUACAAUCUCUAAUUUGUGUAUUAAGCUACUAAAUUGUAGCUACGUCCUGUAAUUAAGCAAACUUUAGCUACGCCGCCGAUUUAUUGCCUAAAUGUUAGCUAUAUAUUUCUGAAAUUUUGCCUUAUUAAUUUCUGUUUAACUUAUAUCUGUGUAAUUAAUUUCUAAGAUAUAAUUCUUGUAUAACUUGUUUUCGACCAAACAAUUCCUAAUAGUAAUUUUUUUAGCUUUUUCUGUUCAUGAGUUCAUCAAAGCGUUAGUGUUGAAGGAAAACCAAAGGACAAAUAUAAGACUGUUACAAAAAAAAUUUAUAAACAAUUAUUAAAGAAAAUGAUACUCAACUAGUGUGACUUGAUACAAUCCUUUUAAAAAAAGUUUCUAUUUUUAUAUCUCAAAUAGAAGUGUCUAAUCCUUACGUAUUUCCAUUGCAGGUGAUCUUGCAAAUUUUCUUUUAGAAUUGUUUUCGCCUCAGAAAUAAUUGAACUAAGUUUAUUUUACAUUUAAAAAACAACUGAUAAAAGAUUCAAAUACUAGAAAAUUUGUUUGGAGGUUUUCAUACUGGAUUACAGGCUUCUUAAAAUUUAUGUUUUGCAAAAUUUUUGAUUGUUUUACUUAUUUAUAUGUGCAUAUACUAAGACACAAAACUUUCCACUCUGAUAUGGAAACUAUUGGCACUGAUUAAGUCUAAGAAAACUAAAAAAAUCAUUUUGUUUUUGGUGUUCUCUAAGUUGUAAAUUGAUUCUUAAUCGUUGUGGUUUUGUUUCCUUCCUUUAAUGGAGAUAACAGAGUUAUCUGUUCUGAUAUAUGUAGAUUUUACUUCCAACAAUCGUAAAAGGGGCCAAGCUAGCUGAUAUGGAGGAGGUUGAGAGAAUUCCUUCCUCUGCAGAGCCUCCCACGGAACUUAGUUAUCCAUCAGUUGGCGAAAAACUAGUGGGGUCUGACGAUGAUGCAAACAAUAUAAUUGAAAAGUUGACGGCAGGGCCAUGGGACUUGGACGUUAUUUCAAUUGUCGGAAUGGCUGGAAUAGGGAAAACAGCUUUGGCUGGAAUGGUAUGCCGUGAUGUUUCUGUUAAUUGUCAUUUUGAUGUUCAAGCGUGGUGCUCCCUUGGACAAAUAUAUAAUGUGAGAAAGUUAUUUAUUGAGAUUCUAAGACAAAUAACGGGCAAUAGGUAUGUUAAUGUGGAUGAUCCUGAUGACAUGGUGCGGAAGACUCUUCUCAGAAAAAGGUAUCUCAUCGUAUUGGAUGACAUAUGGGAAAGCGAGUCAUGGGAUGAUUUAACACGAUGUUUCCCUAGGGAGGAAACGAGAAGUAGAAUAAUGGUAACUACUAGAAAUGCAGAGUUAGCUCGGUAUAUAAGGUUGUAUAGUGAACCUUAUUUGCUUCCAUUUCUAAGAGAUGAAGAGAGUUGGGAAUUACUGCAGAAGAAAGUAUUUCGAGGAGAGAGCUGUCCUUUGGAGCUACGCAGUGUAGGACCACUAGUUGCCAAACAAUGCAAGGGGUUGCCUUUUUUGAUAAUCAUGAUUGCUGGAAUUCUUUCUCGAAAAAAAAGAGAAGCAUCUUUGUGGCUUGAGGUUGCAUAUGAUAUAGGUUCUUAUACUUUAGAAGAGGGAAGCAUGAAGAUGAUACAAUCAAGUUAUGACCUUUUACCGGACUAUUUAAAGCCUUAUCUUCUCUACAUGGGAUUGUUUCCUAAAGGGAAUUUGAAAUUCCAGUGUCUGAUCUGCUGAAGUGGUGGAUAGCUGAGGAGUUUGUGCCGUACAACUUCUACACAUGGUACGAUCUAGAAGA
rnacentral:lncRNA from 1 species